rnacentral:tRNA from 1 species
GUAGUCGUAGCUCAGUGGUAGAGCGCUUGCCUAGCAUGUGUGAGGCACUGGGUUCAAUUCUCAGCACCACA